GGAUGGGUGGCUGAGCGGUUUAAAGCAGCGGUCUUGAAAACCGCCGUGUCGCAAGGCACCGGGGGUUCAAAUCCCUCCCCAUCCGCCA
rnacentral:tRNA from 2 species